UACGUAGGGGGCAAGCGUUGUCCGGAUUUAUUGGGCGUAAAGAGCGUGUAGGCGGCCAGCCAGGUCCGUUGUGAAAACUCGAGGCUCAACCUCGAGACGCCGAUGGAAACCGUCUGGCUAGAGUCCGGAAGAGGAGAGUGGAAUUCCCGGUGUAGCGGUGAAAUGCGCAGAUAUCGGGAAGAACACCCGUGGCUAAGGCGGCUCUCUAGUACGGUACUGACGCUGAGACGCGAAAGCGUGGGGAGCGAACAGG
rnacentral:rRNA from 1 species